UUUCGUAGUCGUGUCUCACUAAGGGUAAGCAUCUCAAUGUUAGUUAGCAAAGAAACCACAAAUUGAUCGAUAUCAAGGAGUUAACAUGUUGAUGUCGUUGGUUUAAUUGGGGUGUGAUAGAAGUGGCAAAAUGUUUGUUGAGAAGCAUCAUGUGACAAGGGGACGGAAUUUAUGCGAUACUAGGUGUGAAUUGCAGAAUCCCGUGAACCAUCGAGUCUUUGACGCAAGUUGCGCCCGAAACCAUUAGGCUGAGGGCACGUCUGCCUGGGUGUCA
rnacentral:rRNA from 1 species